rnacentral:rRNA from 1 species
UGGGGAAUAUUGGACAAUGGGGGCAACUCUGAUCCAGCAAUGCCGCGUGUGUGAAGAAGGCCUGCGGGUUGUACAGCACUUUCAAUUGGGAAGAAAAGCAGUCGGACACUACCCGGCUGUCUUGACGUUACCUUUACAAGAAGCACCGGCUAACUCCGAGCCAGCAGCCGCGGUAAUAGGGAGGGUGCGAGCGUUAAUCGGAAUUACUGGGCGUAAAGCGCGCGUAGGCGGUUCGGUAAGUCGGAUGUGAAAGCCCCGGGCUUAACCUGGGAAUUGCAUUCGAAACUGCCGGGCUAGAGUAUGGGAGAGGGAAGCGGAAUUUCCGGUGUAGCGGUGAAAUGCGUAGAUAUCGGAAGGAACAUCAGUGGCGAAGGCGGCUUCCUGGACCAAGACUGACUCUGAGGUGCGAAAGCGUGGGUAGCGAACAGGAUUAGAUACCCCCGUAGUCC